rnacentral:tRNA from 1 species
AGGCGUGUUCCGUAGUCACCUUGACAUGGGGGGGGCGUUGGUUCGAGUCCAAUCGCGCCUACCA